GGUAAUGUUCUGUGAUAUAUAAAAGGGAUAUUUUCAACAGCUGGAUCAUUAGCUGAGCUUGCAUUGCUUUGGCUUUUCCAUUGGGGAUUUUUAUUUGUGGAUUGAAUUUGCCCGAUACUAAAUCAUGAAAUUCUCAGUGUUCUUACUCAUCUUUUUGGCUCUUAUCGUCGCUGUUCUGGCUGGUGGCAAAUCCUGGUAUUAUCCGUAUUAUCAUGGCUGGCCUUAUUAUUCUUCCUAUUAUUGGCCUUAUUAUGGGAAAUAUCCUUACUAUUAUUGGCCAUAUCCUGGAUAUUCCAAAUACUACUGGUGGUGAUUCUUAAUUCAGGUGCUAACAGAAGAAUUAGCUCUGUUUCUGCAGAAAUGGUGAACACAAAAUCAGCUUUGUAAAGAAAAUUCGUUUACAUCAGAAUAAAAGAAAAUACUCAAUAAUUUCAACAGAGCCAAGAAUCAAAAUUGUUUAUAAUAAUUUACUGCCAUCUUAAUACAGCUGUAUUAUUGUGUUUUUUUAAAGUAUUAUUUUUUAAAUAUGCCCAAUAAAUUGUUUAUUAUUUUACUC